AGUUAUAACAGCAUUCCAGUUGCUCUUGAGAUACCGGAGGGGAGGCUGACGAGAGGCCAGCAUUUUGAUUAUGUCCCUCUUUCCAGCUUACUACACACCAGAGACUUUGGGGAAUGUCUCCUUGAAAAAGGAAAAUGAGGCCCAGUGAGUGACUUACCUACGGAUACACAAUUAGGGGAGGCACUGGACUCUAGAACCCACAUUCAUAAGGAGGUUGAGAGUGGGUUAAUCAUUAAGGAUGGAGAGGAAAAAAAGAGGACACUGAUACAUCUUUAAAAUAUACGGAAGUUUGGAAGGAGGGAUGGAUAAGCAGGGCAGCUGGAGAUUCGUGCUUCAUGAAGAAACCAUUUUUUGUAUUCUAUUACAUGUAUAGAAAUCCUCUUUUCAAAAAAUGUUUUAGGUGAAUAGUUCCACCUCAAUCAUCCUGCACUCCCUAUUACAACUUCCCAUUGAAGAGCAGCCUCUUCAGAUAGAAAAACAGCUUUCAGUCAUAUCGGAAGAGUUCAUCCUACAUCUAGUUACUCACCAGCAUUGCUAUCUGUGAUCACAGUACAAGAAAAGUACUCAUACAUCACAAUGCAAAGGAACCUCUUCACUAGGAUGGAUGCCUGCCACCUUUUACUCUCCUAUGCUGACUGAAUAUCUGCCUCCUUGCAUCACUGCACCCAAUGUACCUCUUACUUCUGCAGAAGAAUGGGCCAGGCUGUACUCUGUCCUAGACUCUUAGAUGGAAUGGUGACACCCUACUUGAUUCUGAACUAGAUUUCCUGAGCUCCUGUUGCUGGCUUCCAGAUCCUCUGGUCUGUUUAUGGUGAAGGUUGUGAUGUUUAACCCAAAGAAGAGAUAGAAGAGAUUCUUCAGGGGGAUGAUAGAGAUGGAAGAGUAUAUGAGACCCUGCCAAAGGGAAAAGGAGUUAGGCCCUAAAUUUGACC